rnacentral:tRNA from 2 species
GGCGGGGUAGCUCAGCUGGUUAGAGCGCAGGCUUCAUAAGCCUGAGGUCGGGAGUUCAAGUCUCCCCCCCGCUACCA